rnacentral:rRNA from 1 species
ACGGAAGGCAGCAGUGGGGAAUAUUGCACAAUGGGCGAAAGCCUGAUGCAGCGACGCCGCGUGAGUGAAGAAGUAUCUCGGUAUGUAAAGCUCUAUCAGCAGGGAAGAAAAUGACGGUACCUGACUAAGAAGCCCCGGCUAACUACGUGCCAGCAGCCGCGGUAAUACGUAGGGGGCAAGCGUUAUCCGGAUUUACUGGGUGUAAAGGGAGCGUAGACGGCAUGGCAAGUCUGAUGUGAAAGCCCGGGGCUCAACCCCGGGACUGCAUUGGAAACUGUCAAGCUAGAGUGCAGGAGAGGUAAGUGGAAUUCCUAGUGUAGCGGUGAAAUGCGUAGAUAUUAGGAGGAACACCAGUGGCGAAGGCGGCUUACUGGACUGUAACUGACGUUGAGGCUCGAAAGCGUGGGGAGCAAACAGGAUUAGAUACCCUGGUA